rnacentral:lncRNA from 1 species
UUUUUUCACAUUUCAUCUUUUUUUUACCUGUUGAAUAUAACGAGGUGGUGACCCAUCAGAAUUGUUUUUUUUUUCACAUUUCUUUUGCUGGUUAGUACAUUAUACUUUUCAUAUUUACAAUUAUAAAAUAUCAUAAAAUUUUGUAUUAAAUUGAAGAUGACUACUCAACAGGUAGCCAAUAUUUAUUGAGAGAGUAACUUUAAAUUUUUUUGUUUAUAGAUUGUAUAUCCACAAGGUUGGCAGCGGGGAUGAUGAUAUAAGUGCUAUUCUACGAAAACCUUUUUUUGGAUACUUAUUUCUUUUUGAAUCAAGUUUCAAAUCUUCGAUAUUUUCAAUUUUUUAAGAAUGCUACAACUACUAUUUCUUUUGAUGAUACAUAGGAUAAGAAAUUUAUAAGGUGAACAUUAAAUGAUCUAGUUUACUUGUUGUUAUCAUUGGCAUACGAAUACAUUGGUUUAUAAAGAUGUGUAGUU